UAGUUGCAUGAUUUCAGAACUCUGUGAUUUAUUUUUUCUGCAGGCUGCAGUGAGCCAUGGAGGGUCUCUGAACAGAGAAGCACUUACUGGGGGCUGCUGGAGCUGUGCUCUCUGGAGAUGAAUCUGGCAAUAUUGCGGACUGAGGCCGCGGGGCCCUGUAUGAGCGUUGCUGGCCGUGGGGUUCUUGCCCUGGUGCGGAGAGGGGCCUGCAGGAACUCCGCAUUCCCUCCUGGCUCCGAGGCUUGUUGACGGUCAGAAGGCACUCCAUGCAUUCCUGCAAAUCACCGUGUCCACAGUCCUUGGCAGCAUUUCUGAUUUGGGAAUAUUAAAAACUCAACGGCGCUCCUGGGAAGGGGAUUCUGCUGAAGACCUGCGUGGAUCAGGGAGCUGAGACCAAGACACGGCAAGGGGCUGGGGAGCCUUCUGCCUGCAGCGUACCCCAUGGUGUCCCACCCACACUCCCUUCCCUUUGCUGGUGCCUUCAGUUUGGGGGUGGAAGGGUGUUGUGGUUAGGAUAAUGUACUACUUGUCUAGAGAAAGUUGAUUUUUUUUUUUUUUUUUUUGGAGAGCCCUGUGGAAGUUAAGAAAUGGAAUUGAUUGUAGGGGAGGGAUGGAGAUCUGGGUUCAGCCCGAGUCUUAUGGAGAAAGCUUGUGGUGGACACUUGUCCUGGGUAUGUGGGGAUGCGGCUGCACCAUCUUCUCUGGGGGCACCGUGGAGCUGUGGGUCUUGACCUCUCUGGCCUCAGACCUUUUCAGGAUCCAAUGAAAGCCAUCCCCCUCUGGCCCGCAAAGGGCAUGCACGCACAGGAUGGUAGUCACGUGGCAACCCCCAGAAGCCCAGCUGGGGCUCUUGAGUUAGGAAGUCCUGCUGAGGAAGGAGUCCUUGGGUAAGGAGGCAGCCCUGAGCCCAGACUCCCCGUGAUCUGUGCUCAUGAAGGAUGUUAGUGACAUGGUGCAUCCAGAAUGAGGAAAAUCUGAACCAUAUCUCUAUGGUGUGAACUAAAAAGCACGAUACAUAAGCUGCAUUGCAAUCCUGUAAAAAAAAGAUGUUCCUAUAGAAAAAUGGGAAGGCAGCAUG